UACGUAGGGGGCAAGCGUUGUCCGGAUUUAUUGGGCGUAAAGAGCGUGUAGGCGGCCAGAUAGGUCCGUUGUGAAAACUGGAGGCUUAACCUCCAGCGGUCGAUGGAAACCAUCUGGCUAGAGUCCGGAAGAGGAGAGUGGAAUUCCUGGUGUAGCGGUGAAAUGCGCAGAUAUCAGGAAGAACACCCGUGGCUAAGGCGGUUCUCUAGUACGGUACUGACGCUGAGACGCGAAAGCGUGGGGAGCGAACAGG
rnacentral:rRNA from 1 species